AGCCAUGAUCACCAAUGUGUCUAAGCCAUGAUCACUGUGUCUAAGCCAUGAUCACCAAUGUGUCUAAGCCAUGAUCACCAAGGUGUCUAAGCCAUGAUCACCAACGUGUCUAAUCCAUGAUCACCAACGUGUCUAAGCCAUGAUCACCAAGGUGUCUAAGCCAUGAUCACCAUGUCUAAGCCAUGAUCACCAUGUCUAAGCCAUGAUCACCAAGGUGUCUAAGCCAUGAUCACCAUGUCUAAGCCAUGAUCACCAAGGUGUCUAAGCCAUGAUCACCAAGGUGUCUAAGUGUAAUCAAUGAUACUGAGCCCUCCCAACCACCCGUGCCACAGCUGCUACCACCGUCUUGACCUCACAGAGAGGGUGAGUGACCUCCCCACACUCACACAGCUGCUGGGAGGCUGAGCAGAGACCUGGGCACAACUUAGGCAGUUCCAGAGAAACAACAGUGAACACAAGUCCAUCCCAGGCGCCUGUCAGCUCUAAACCUGUUUUAGUUUCCUUUUCAGUAAAAUGCG